rnacentral:rRNA from 1 species
CAGUCGCCGCGGUAAUACAGAGGGUGCAAGCGUUAAUCGGAAUUACUGGGCGUAAAGUGCGCGUAGGUGGUUUGUUAAGUUGGAUGUGAAAUCCCCGGGCUCAACCUGGGAACUGCAUCCAAAACUGGCAAGCUAGAGUAUGGUAGAGGGUGGUGGAAUUUCCUGUGUAGCGGUGAAAUGCGUAGAUAUAGGAAGGAACACCAGUGGCGAAGGCGACCACCUGGACUGAUACUGACACUGAGGUGCGAAAGCGUGGGGAGCAAACAGGAUUAGAUACCCGCGUAGUCCCUGUCUCUUAUAC